rnacentral:lncRNA from 1 species
GUACGAGUAACAUUGUGUUAUUAACCAUACGGAUACACAGGUAACAUGUUUGUUCUUAACCCCAUGAGAAAAAUUAUUGUCUCAUGCAAAUCCUCCAGUAACUUACUAGUUAUACAAUAAAUCAGAAAGCAAAAGGCUAUGCACGUUGCUGAAUCUCAAUGAGCAACCCAAGAGAUUUUCUAAUAGAAACAUAAACCACUAUUGAAGGCAAUAGAGUAACACAUAUCACAGACACUGAUAUAGUACACAAAAAAGCAUUCACGGGGCAGAAGGGAGAAAGGAAAAAUAUCACACCUACGCAUGAAAAGAUAGAGACAUCAAACGGGGAAAGAGAGUUUUUCUAGCAAAGGAAGUAUAGAAAAGUAGUAGCAUUCUGGAAGUAAAGAAAGACGUACAAUUUUGCAUAUUUAGUAAAAAAAGAACAAUGUGCCACAGUGCCAGUCAACCGAAAGGAAAGAACCGAAAGGAUAAAGGAAGGGCUUUUAUACAAUACUCAUAUAACAUACAUUACAGUUCAGCAAUCCUAACAAGUAUGGUGUUUUCAUCUUCUUCAGAUUUUAAGAGAUAAUCUCAUAAAUUAAAUGGUUUCUAAUUAUGAAUCAUUAGAACUAAAUUGUUGUUGCAAUACAGAGCAUCCUAAAGUUUGCCUAACUUUAACUCAUUGAUGUAAGGAUGAUGAACCCCACGUUAUAUUAUUUUAUUUUUGUCACUAUAAUCCAUUCCCUAAAAAGGGGAUGUGAAUUUAUCUUUCUCGCUCUAGCAUUAACAGGCAUAAUAUGAUGAGUUGAGAAACUCUUCAGUAAGAUUCCAUUAAAACCUCAACAAUAUUGUUCUGCAUUUUUUUACCAUACAGCAGUAAAACAUCUAAAAAAAAAUCUCAUCUACUUUCAAAAGUUUAGUAAUAUAUUAGCCCCAAGAGUAAAACCAUUACUCUACAUCAGGGGGCCGAGCCACCAUUGAGCUUUCUUGGCUAGUCUGAUUCGACCAUAUUGGCCUAAUUAGAAAGUUUCCAUAGCCCUCUAUCUGAGAAUCAGUGGGUAAGACCACCAAACCAAUCCUAAUUCAUCCACAUCGAAUGAAAAUCUCACCUUGUAUAGCGUCCAUACCAUGAGACUAGCUCACGGUUGAGGAACCACCGCAAACCACCGUCAAUAACUCCUUGGCCAUCGUUGGAGAAGGAAAUCCCGCAGAAGAGAAAGCUUCGAAGUGUUGGGGAUCUGGUUCCCUUUUGUGCGUGAACACUAGGGUCAUUUACCCCUUUUACCAAUCCAACCCCUCUUUACUUUAGU